CUGUGUUCAAUAAACCAGACAUUUCAAGUGCUACCAAUGGUUCAAGUACGAUUAUUGGAGCUGCCGUAGGUGGUGCGAUAGCUGGGAUAGUUUGCAUUGCAGUUAUUGUAUUCAUAAUUAUUAAACGAAAAAGUAUCAGUGAGCUAAAGGUUUGCAGAAGGGAAGAAACAGAUGUGGGUAGAACAAGCAGAGAAGAGGAUUCGCCUAAAAUUUCAUCUGUGGAUGUUAACGAUACGGGUUAUGAACAGGUUGAUUUACCAGCAAACUACGAUAGAGUUGACGUAAACACCAACGUUGAUGG